UUCUUCGUCACAAUAUGUUUUCAUAAAAUUUUGUCCAUCCAUCCCGCUUGUUUAGUUUUUCGUCACUAAAAGUCUGCCCAGAUAUGAUUACUUAUUAGUAGUUGUCGCGGGUUCGUAACUGUUCACGCACAGAGUAGCUCCGUCCUAAUGCCGUCGCGCGGACCUAGCCGUUUUCUUUCUCUAUAUUUCAUCCUUUUCAAACCAAACUCGAACCCUUACAUCAAAACCGUUGGUCGCCGAUUCUCCUCCGACCAACAGCGGCUAUUCGUUCCCGGUAACCCCCUUAUCAAGUGGCCUCCACUGCCCCAUCCACCCUGCUCUCCAACAACACCAAACCCUAUCCCUAGCACCGACCCCGACCCCGACUCUUCACUCAGUGACUUCUCCACCAUUUCUGACCUUCUUACAGACCCUAGCAUCUCUCCCGGUAUAUCCCUCGAGGCUGCAUUAGACCGUACAGGGAUUGAACCGAACCCGAGUCUGGUACAGGCCGUACUCGAUCGUUUUGAUCAUUCCCCCAGAUUACUGCACACACUCUUUGUUUGGGCGAAGAAGCAGCCUGGGUUUAGAUCCUCUGAGACGCUUUUCAACUCAGUGAUCAAUGUGCUAGGGAAAUCUAAGAAGUUCGAUUCCGUGUGGUCGCUGGUCCUUGAUCGGAUUGGUGGAGAUGAGAAACCGCCCGCUUUCGUUUCUGGGGACACUUUUGCGAUUAUGAUCAGACGCUACGCUCGCGCAGGUAUGACUCAACCUGCAAUCCGGACGUUUGAAUUUGCUCGUAAUUUAGACCCAAUUCAAGACUCGGAUUCAGAGAUGAGUUUGUUUGAGGUUUUGUUGGAUUCCCUCUGCAAGGAAGGCCACGUGAAGGUAGCUUCAGAAUAUUUAGAUCAGAAAAGGAAGUUGGAUCCAAAUUGGGUUCCGUCGGUACGUGUUUAUAAUAUACUGUUGAAUGGAUGGUUUCGCUCGAGGAAGCUCAAACAGGCAGAGCGGCUUUGGGAGGAGAUGAAAAUGGAUGAUGUGAAACCAAGUGUUGUGACAUAUGGUACUCUUGUGGAAGGGUACUGUCGGAUGCGUCGUGCUAAAAUAGCGAUUGAGUUGGUGCAUGAGAUGAGACGGGAGGGAAUUGAGCCAAAUGCUAUUGUGUAUAAUCCUAUAAUUGAUGCACUGGGGGAAGCCGGGCAGUUUGUGGACGCAAUGCGGAUGUUGGAGCGGUUUUUGGUUUUAGAAUCAGGGCCAACUAUCUCGACAUACAAUUCUCUGGUGAAGGGUUUUUGUAAGGCAGGAGAUCUUGUAGGGGCAAGUGAGAUCCUUAAGAUGAUGAUAGGUAGGGGCUUCAUCCCGACUGCUACAACCUAUAACUAUUUCUUUAGGUAUUUCUCUAAACAUGGGAUGAUUCAGGAGGGUAUGAACCUUUAUACCAAAAUGAUCGAAUCUGGUUAUGCACCAGAUCGGCUUACUUUCCAUCUUUUGAUGAAAAUGUUGUGCGAGGAGGAGAGAUUAGACUUGGCAGUUCAAGUUAGCAAGGAAAUGAGAGCUAGGGGAUGUGAUAUGGACUUAGCAACAAGCACUAUGUUGGUUCAUUUGCUUUGCAAAAUGCAUAGAUUGGAGGAGGCCUUUGCAGAGUUUGAGGAUAUGAUUCGAAGGGGUGUUAUUCCUCAGUAUCUUACUUUCCAGAGAAUAAAAAAUGAACUAAAGAAACAAGGAAUGAAUGAAAUGGCACAGAGACUGUGGGACAUGAUGUCUUCUGUCCCUCAUUCAAUGAACUUGCCGAAUACAUAUCGUGGGGAUGGAGAUGCAUCACGUGCAAGGAGAACAUCUAUAAUCCAGAAAGCCGAAGCAAUGUCUGAGUUGCUAAAGACUUCUAAAGAUCCCAGAGAGCUUGUUAAGUGGCGUGGUUCGUCCAAGAAUGUUGAAUUGAAUGCAAACAAGUUGAUAGAAGAUAUCAAGAAAAAGCUGACACGACAUGAAUCUCCAAGUACUUAAACCAAGAGCCAGCACAAGGAGUAAAUGGCUCUUUAAUUGCACAUGCAAUAGGAUGAGCUUAGAUAUUGAAUUGGGAAGACAAAAAGCUUAGAUUUCAGCCUGUGCAGCAAUCUGAUGGAUGACUAAAAUCGAGCUGCUCAAAUCAAUACUGAACCCAUCAGCACGUGCAGGCUUUAUUUGUGGGGGAUAAAGUUGAAGAAAAAGCGGGAUCUGAGUUGGAUGCCAUGAAAGGUGAAAACAGGACGGUGCGUUGUAUUGUGGAUUAUUAAAUCAAGUUUUUGUAGGAAUAUAAUAUGCAAGAUAUUUUUGGAUUUGAAAUGGAGUUGGAGUGUUUUUUAUGUUGCAAUCACUUCCACCAUUUCUUCUUUCACCAAAGAUGGCUUGGGCAUCGGUUAAUCUGUUUUCUUGGUUGUUAAGAGUUCUGACCAGUCUCUGCUGAAAAGCUAUCUGGUUUGUGUUCUUGUGGAAGCCAGCCUUAUAAAUAUUGGGUCUCAAAAGUGCCAAGGCAAGUGUGUGAUUCAGGAAGCGAUGAUGAAACUGUAAUUUCCCUUGUAAAUCAAGCAGACAUUAGUUUUGAUGGGACUCCCGGCCUAUCAACAGUUGCUAAGAAGGGAUUGAGGGUGCUCGAUGAACCACUCCUAUCUGCAACAAAAUUGCUGUAUAACUAGUGUUGCAUUGUCUGGGAUAGAAAACGUCAAUACCAGACGGUCCAGACACGAUGUUGGUUUGUGAGCUUAUCUCUCAGGACGACCUGCAAGAUGACCUUCGGAUUAAAUUGCUUCGGUAACAUGUUUCUUGCUAGCCCUGGUCAUACUAAUGAUUUCCCAUAUAUCACAUAGCGAAGCAAAUUGUUAAGAGGAUCGAUUCUUUUGUGGAAUCCUGCCUAGACUAUAUAUAUGAAAACAUGGCGUGCACGAGGGAGGGAAUGGAAUGGAAUGUGAUCCAAUGAGAGAUAAGAGUUGAUGAAACUUGUAUGGCCCACAUCUGAGACAACCACAGCUGACUAUUCUGAUUUUACUCCUCGUUUUCAAGUCGUUAAUGUAUUCUGAUUAUACUUCACGGUUGGUUUUAUCUCAUGAAUAUUGUGGUAUUGGAGAUGAACGAUGGAUGCCACUUGAAUGAUGAAUCCACGUGAAUUGGACCAAAUUUCCUUAAAACGUGGACAGUGUGAUCGGGAGAAAUAUUG